rnacentral:rRNA from 1 species
UACAGAGGGUGCGAGCGUUGUCCGGAAUCACUGGGCGUAAAGGGCGCGUAGGCGGCUUUUCAAGUGACGGGUGAAAUCCCUCGGCUUAACCGAGGAACUGCCUGUCAGACUGGAAGGCUUGAGACCGGGAGAGGUGAGUGGAAUUCCCAGUGUAGCGGUGAAAUGCGUAGAUAUUGGGAGGAACACCAGUGGCGAAGGCGACUCACUGGACCGGAACUGACGCUGAGGCGCGAAAGCGUGGGGAGCAAACAGG